rnacentral:rRNA from 1 species
UUCCGUAGGGUUACCUGCGGAGGGAUCAUUACCGAGUUUACAACUCCCAAACCCAUGUGAACAUACCUACUGUUGCUUCGGCGGGAUUGCCCCGGGCGCCUCGUGUGCCCCGGAUCAGGCGCCCGCCUAGGAAACUUAAUUCUUGUUUUAUUUUGGAAUCUUCUGAGUAGUUUUUACAAAUAAAUAAAAACUUUCAACAACGGAUCUCUUGGUUCUGGCAUCGAUGAAGAACGCAGCGAAAUGCGAUAAGUAAUGUGAAUUGCAGAAUUCAGUGAAUCAUCGAAUCUUUGAACGCACAUUGCGCCCGCCAGUAUUCUGGCGGGCAUGCCUGUCUGAGCGUCAUUUCAACCCUCAUGCCCCUAGGGCGUGGUGUUGGGGAUCGGCCAAAGCCCGCGAGGGACGGCCGGCCCCUAAAUCUAGUGGCGGACCCGUCGUGGCCUCCUCUGCGAAGUAGUGAUAUUCCGCAUCGGAGAGCGACGAGCCCCUGCCGUUAAACCCCCAACUUUCCAAGGUUGACCUCAGAUCAGGUAGGAAUACCCGCUGAACUUAAGCAUAUCAAA